rnacentral:misc_RNA from 1 species
UUAACUAUUAAAUAGUACUCAGACGACACUGUAUUUCAGAGUUUAGGGUCCUCUAGCAGGCACGGUCAGCGUGAGCCAACGCCCGAAGGCGGCCUGCUAAAGCAACAAUAUAAUAUACACAAGGGUGGGGUUUCUACCCGUGAGGGCAGGAACUCUGUAAUGAUCCUUCCGCAGGUUCACCUACGGAAA